rnacentral:sRNA from 17 species
UUGAACCGAUACCGAGGCAGGCCCAACGGCCUGAGGGGAAAACCUGCAACCGCAGGCGGUCGCACAGAGUGCAUAAACCGACACCCCGCAAUACCUCAACCGCUGCCCGCUCUGGCGCACAGGUAUCGUUCA